UACGUAGGGUGCAAGCGUUGUCCGGAAUUAUUGGGCGUAAAGAGCUCGUAGGCGGUUCGUCGCGUCGGCUGUGAAAACCUGAGGCUCAACCUCAGGCCUGCAGUCGAUACGGGCGGACUUGAGUACUGCAGGGGGAGACUGGAAUUCCUGGUGUAGCGGUGAAAUGCGCAGAUAUCAGGAGGAACACCGGUGGCGAAGGC
rnacentral:rRNA from 1 species